rnacentral:lncRNA from 1 species
GCCUAUGUCACUACGUGCAUGCUAUAUGCUUAAUCUCGGAGUACGUGGCAUUCCGUGUGUAUAUGUCUGCCACGUCGGUCGCUGAGAACUGAGAAGGCCUAACUUUGCUUAUGCUAUCUCGCAGGAAUAAUCACGCACGGCCUAAUUUCAGUUCAACCUGUCACCUGUGUGUGGCCCUGCACUAAUCCAAAUCUAAUUUCCCUGCAUCGCU